rnacentral:lncRNA from 1 species
CACCCAGCACGCUUGUACAAGGCUAACCCACCAAGGAUUUUAAACAGGCGAUUGAGUUCCCAAGCUUGUCCCUGGGCUAAGCUCCCCUGAUGGGCCCUGAUGGUCAGCAGCAUCCCAGACCCACCUCAUGCUUUCUGGGCUUCUUCUUCUCAACUUGACAUUUGAUCAUUAACAACAGCAGACACUGCAGCUAAGAAAGAUGCUAUUGCAACGUGAUCAAUCUGCAGUGGGUACUGGGGUCCCAGGGAUAUGGCAGGAAAAACAAUUUCUUCUGAUCUGAAACCUGGCUCAGAGGAUCCCUCACAGAGACCGAGUUUGAUAAUAUUCACUGAAGACAUUUUUGACUUAGAGAAAUACAAUAUAAAAUGGAGCCUGGCAGAAGAUGUGAUCUUAGCUAAAGAGCCAACUGCAUUAAGAGCAUCACUCUGCUGGAGCAAUUACACAUGGUAA